rnacentral:lncRNA from 1 species
AACUCCGUUUUCAAAUUGGUUUUCACCAUUAGCUUCCAAAUACUUUAAGGAUCAUUUUACAUCAAAAAUUUCCAGAUUUGGGUAUCGUUUUCCGGUAUGAGACUUUUGGACCGUUUUGCCCUUUUUCCCUAAAUUUCUUGAUUUUGGUGUCAUUGGACUCGAAUUGUGAUUGUGAAUAAUUGUUUGAAUAGAUUAUCGUGAUCCGGAUUCUACUCGGAAAGGAAAGGCUCAAGUCAAGUAACUUUUGGAGUUCGUUUUAAGGCAAUUGGCUUCCAAACUUUGUAAAACUCUUAGACUACGCAUGACUACUUUCCUAAUUGUGUUGGGGAGUAAUGGGGAUUGAGGAUGGGUUUUAUUUGUUGAUUGAAAUUGUUGUAAAUGAAAGAUGGGGAAUAAAACGAGCUAAAUGUGUUAUAUGUGACUUGAAUUUGUUGAAUAAGUCAUGUGAUAACUGAUAUUGAGGGGAUAGAAGAGCAUGAGUAGGCUAUGAUUGAUACAGACAUUGAUGUUGAGACAGAUGAUGUGUAAUAUUAUGAUGUGAUCGUGAUAUGAUUGUGAUUGAUGACAUGUGCAUAUUCAUUAUUCAUCCCAUGUGUGAACUAUCUGUUGCAUGAGUUCUGAGACACUGAUAUGAGGAUGGAUGGAUAUGAGACACAGUUGAGACUAGCUUCGGCUAGCGAUUUGGAUGCCGAUGGGAUCUGGUUCCGGCGGGGAUACAUGGUCCAUGUGUGGCCCCCAUGGGUUCUGAUUUGAGUAUUCAGCGCGGACUGAUUACGUCAACAGAUGUGUAUGGUAGGACAGACAUGCAUCACGACUACAUGACAUCAUUAUUGCAUUUUGCAUCGCAUUUGCCUUAUCUUUGUCUGUGAUGUGUGGAUUGUAUCGGUUUACCCUUCUUAUGUGGAAUUUGAUCUACUUGCUCUUAUUUGUUGAUCUGAGGUUGAUGAGGAUAUACUGUUGGUUCUGGCUGUUGAAUAUGAUCUGUUUAGUAUAGGUUGGUUGGUUUGCUGUUAGAUUGAAGUUUCGGUGGUUGGGUUGGGAUUGAAAGGAGUUGUUUGUAGCUGCUAGUUUUGCUUAGUUUAGAGUUACUUGCGAGUACCUGUGGUUUUCGGUACUCACCCUUGCUUCUACACAAUUGUGUAGGUUGACAGCUCUCUCAGAUUCGGCUUAGUAUUUUCUUUAGCAGAUUGAGCUUCGGGACAUACUCGAGAGGUAGCGGUUCAUUCCAGACGUGCCCUUG